UCACAGCGCUGCGCCGGGCGGGUGACCCCGCGGGCCUCCGGCGCAUCGCACCGAUGCACCAAGCGAAGGGGGCGGGGGGUGACCCCAGUCCCGGGACUCUCUCCGCAGAGUCCAGCGCGCAGUGAUGGGCAGCUGCACCCGCAGCUCUCGGCGGAGCAGCCUCCCCCGGCCCGCGCUGCCGUUACCUUGGUUCUCCUCGUCCAGGUCCUGAUUUUGUAACUUGUUCCAUGCAGGUGCAGAGUUCCUGCUACAUGGAACAAGUUGAAGGAUAUGAGCCUGAGAAUACUGGAGAAGAGAAGACUGAGAGGCAGCGUAGCUGGCGGGAUUCAGCGGAAGCAGCCGGUUCCCCUCAGGCCGGCAGGCGCGGACGCAGAGCGUGCCGGCCGGCGCUACCAACCACACAGCUGGAGGAGCCACGGGGCGGAAGCGGUGCCUGCUGGCUGGCGCUGCCCAUCACACAGCCGGAGGAGCCGCGGGGCGGCAGGCCGGCGUCGAAGCUGUGCCUGCCAGCCGGGGCAGGUGCAGCCAAGCGCUAGGACAGGCGGCAGUGCAGGAGGGAAGGUCUAUUGUGAUACACAGUUUGUAAUACAAAGAUCUUCUGAACAUAUUCUAUCCUUUGUGGAAACUGUCCCCUAAUCAUUCUGACUUCAUGUGGGGAAAAUACUUACAGUUUGUUAAGUUUUUGUUCAUAAUAUGAGUAUUACUGUCUUUUACCUGCCCAGCUGAACUGUUUGCCAGCAUCCCCUCCCCUCUAAGCACUUACACUCAGACUCUGUCUUCAUUGCAUACGUCUACACUACAAGCACUACAGCAGCACAGCUGCUGCUAUGAUACUGUAGUGUAGGCAUUGCAGUAACAGAAGGGGUUUGUCCAUCCUCACUGUAGUAAAUCCACAAACACCCCAACAGAUCUACAGUGGGACUGACUGGGAAUUUUUCAUGGACCUGAGUGAUGUAGCUAGGCUGACCUAAGCUUUAGGUGUAGACUACAGGUGAGAAACUGCAAUGGAGUAAAAAACUCUUGACUAAAUUCUGUUCUCAUGCCUGUAAAUACUCCUUUUAUAUCAAAGAAUCAGAAUAACUAUCUUCAUUUCCAGAAGGAAAGCAAAAGCUGAAACUAGUGCAGUCCUUAUUUCGGGGGUGGCCAAACUGCAGCUCUCGAGCCACAUGUGGCUCUUUUACAGCUAAAGUGCAGCUCCCAGACACCACCUUCCCCCACCUCCCUUCUCCAACUAACAGACUGGUGGGGUGGGGAGCUCAGGGCUUUAGGUCUAUGGGGUGCACCUGCUGGGACCCCGAGCCUUGGCAAGUGCCUCCCAUGGGACAGAAUCCUCAAGUCCCACCACACUGCUGCAGGGCAGAAACACCGAGCCCCACAGGCGCGCCCAGCUCUUGAAGUUAUGAAGAUUAUCAUAUGCGGCUCAGAGGGUCCGUAAAUGUGGCCAUCCCUGCUUUAUAUCAUAUCCAGAUGUAAAACUAGAUUGACUUGAUCUAGGAAAACUAAGGACUACAUGUACUGCUAGAGUUAUAUGACCACAACCUGUUCUCUAAUCAUCCCCCAACCCCAAAGGGAGAGACUGUCCAUGUGGAAGGGAAAAAAACAGUUUCUUGAGCAGUCAUCAUGCAGUUCUUUAAGAAAUGCAGGCACUGCUUCCCUAAGGAUAAUAUUAGCAGUCUCCUCCAGUGAUGAACCCAAUGCCUCACCAUCCAAGAGGCUCAUAGCUUUGGGGACAGAGGGAAGAAGGAAAAAGAAAUAAUUUUCUCCAAGCAGACCUGCCACAAAAUGUCUGUAUCUACUGCGGGCAGAUUUGCAGUUCCAGGAUCAGACUCCUGAGUCAUCUCAGGACCCAUAUGUAAAUCCGUGGUAGAGAUCAUCCUCGAAUCUAGGGAUUGCCAAUCAAUCAAUCAAUCAGCUCAUAACUCCCUCAUAACUCAUGCAGGGAAGACCUCAUAUUUAUCCUCACUACAUAUGAUAUGCUGCUGUGGCAGCAGUACUGUAGUUCCGUCCAAAUCCACGUGAUUUUUAUCUGUGAAGUAGCUUGAAAACUGCAUAGCUGAACACUUUUACCAAAUGGAGACAGUAAGGAUCAACCAGUCUGUGUAUCACUAGAAAUACUUCAGUUGACUGGAAUUUCACAGAGGUUAUAAUGGGGGAUGGGGGGGAAGCAAAAACAAACAAAAAACCCACCUCCCUCACAACUCCAUUUAAUUAGUCUCCUGCACAGCCACAGUAUAAAUUUUCUAGGAAUUUUCCUGCAGCAGUUGGUUGACAUCGAAUGAGACCGCCACUAACAGCUCUACAAGUUUUUCAUCCUGCUUCAGCUAUUGCAGGUAAUUGUAUACCAUGAUGACUUGGAUGACAAAGCCAAGGAACAGCAUCUAAACAGAGUGAUCUCUUGGCUGAAUAGCAUUGUUUCCUUAGAGCCGCCUCAAAUCUAACUGGUUCCAAGAAGAGACCGA